AUAUCAAGCUAUACAUUUCUACUAUUCCUUCACACUGUGCGCUUGUAGAAUUUAUCGAAGGAGAGAUGAACUGGAUUCAGCGGAAAAUCUAUCUGUACAAUGUUACUUUCGGCCUGUACAUGCUCGAUUGGUGGGAGCGAUGUCUCUUCAAUAUUCUGGUGGUUGUGCUGCUGUGGUUUGUUUGUACUAGGUGUUUCGAUCUGCUUCAGAGUUCUCUGAAAGGAGUUGUAUAAAGCAGCUAGCGGAGUUAGUUGAAAAUGAUUGCAGUUGGGGGUAGAUUAUGAGUUGAAGAAUGGUUAAGGGUCCUGCAAGUUUGCCGUUCUAACAUGAUCAAUCCAACUAUUGUCAAUAGGGAAUUUACUGUGUGGUAAGGUUUUUUUAUGGACAAACUAACUCCCUUUUGUAGUAUGGACAAAAGCGAUGUAUUUAUUUAGGUUCUCACAGUUUUUUGAUUUGCAUAUUAUUCUCUAUUGUUUUUGCAUGUCAGUGAAUUUGUGAUAGUUCUUAAUUUCAUCGUCUGUUAAGCAGUAAGGCAACUUUGUUCUGAAUUAGUCAAGUUGGUAAGGUGUUUUGAUUUGCA